UAGUCAGCGCAACGGAUCCCCACGGCCUUUAGUUUCGAUUUUUCUUGAACGUGUAUGAAUUAUUCAGGUUGCUUUCUGAUACUCUUCUAUUUGUUGAGACAGGGAAAUCUACAUGCAAUGGGGAUGGGCAGGAUCGUCCUGGGAGCUUUGGAACAGAUAUGAUAUUACGCCGUCCCAGUGAAUAUCAACGGAUGCUUCGGAUAAUAUAUCGCCUCCAUCUUCAGUGUUGAAGUGUACGCCAAGCAAGAAACCAGCAUCAAAUAGGCUGCUGACGAUGGAUGCGAUAUGCUCCUCCGAAAUGUUGGUGGACUUUUACCGGACUACACGGCGUUAUAUCCCAGGAGGCAAUACUCUUCGAACGUUAACAUUUGUCGAGGGUCUGCUGCCAUACAGUUUCACCGCACCCUCACACAGCCGGGGCAAUCACAGGGAACUUAGUAAUGAAGCUAGUUACGGUUGGCAGUCCCUGUCUUGCUGUUUGUUGAGGCAGUCUCGCUGCCAACCACUGGCCCACUGCCGCUGAUUUUAAUAAUGGUCAUUUGCAACCAGAUCAGAGUAAGCUUCUGCACGCAACUCCUCACAUGGUUUUACCUGCUGUACACACUUGUGGAACUUGGAUUGCUACCGAAGGGUAAAGGUCUAUCACUAAACGAAAAUUUUUCUAGAGAAGAAACAUCUUUAGAUAUUGAAGAAAGCAGUCUUCUGGGAUUUGGCACCGUGUAUAUGU